UUUAUGGUGUUACAACGUGUAGUUGAAGAACACAUGUCGCUGAAGAACACAUGUCCCUAAAGGACUCAUUUCGCUAAAGGAACCUUUUCACUAAAGCUCUCUUCAACAUCUUCUUAAAUUCCAUGCUAUAAAAUCAGCAGUAAGGAUGCCAUCGCCUUCUUGUUCUAUCGCAGAAACUCAGUAGCUUGGGCAGUGAAUGUACAGUAGUGCACGUCUUCAGGUAUUACCCUGGAAGCUGCGACCAGCAUGGAUGUGGCCGACCUGUCUUCUCUCCCAUACGAAGGUGAUCAGCUUCCCUGACCAUCCACCGUGACCUCACAGAUGACGACCCCGAACUUGUAUGGUGUUGUGAUCUGAUAAGUCAAUUAUGUCCUCACUCCAGAGGUGGGCACUAUGAUGACCUGACCUUCCUGGGUACUCUUCUCACCAGCGAGGGUAUUGAGACACUGAUUCGAGAACUUCACGAGAGGAACGUCAGCGCUGGCAACCCCUGGACCAUGUUCUCAGCGCCACAGGGUCAACCCGGCACCACCCAGGCCCUGGCCGCCUCGCUACGCCUCUCCGGUCUCUAUGUCUUCUAGGGCCUGCAGGACCAAGUCGCAAGAUGAUCAAACAUUUGGUUCCUGUUAAAAUAUCUAUGAGACAGAAGGCUCUUAUAUAUAAUCACAGACUUGUUAACAUUUACCAUUGUUGCUAUCUGUUUAGUGCAGUUGUGCUUAGGUAUUUCUGAUGCUGUAUAUUGUGAAAAAUGUAUUGAAUAAUUAGUUAUAAACUCAGCAUUACUUCCCAAAAUCAAGAACUGGCCAACGAA